rnacentral:rRNA from 1 species
CAGUCGCCACGGUAAUACGAAGGGUGCAAGCGUUAAUCGGAAUUACUGGGCGUAAAGCGUGCGUAGGCGGUGAGUUAAGUCCGUUGUGAAAGCCCUGGGCUCAACCUGGGAAUUGCAGUGGAUACUGGGUCACUAGAGUGUGGUAGAGGAUAGUGGAAUUUCCGGUGUAGCAGUGAAAUGCGCAGAUAUGCGGAGGAACACCGAUGGCGAAGGCAGCCCCCUGGGCCAACACUGACGCUCAUGCACGAAAGCGUGGGGAGCAAACAGGAUUAGAGACCCCCGUAGUCCCUGUCUCUUAUAC